GCCACACGUGGGACUGAGACACGGCCCAGACUCCUACGGGAGGCAGCAGUGGGGAAUUUUGGACAAUGGGGGAAACCCUGAUCCAGCCAUGCCGCGUGAGUGAAGAAGGCCUUCGGGUUGUAAAGCUCUUUCAGCCGGAACGAAAAGGUCACGGCUAAUACCCGUGACAAAUGACGGUACCGGAAGAAGAAGCACCGGCUAACUACGUGCCAGCAGCCGCGGUAAUACGUAGGGUGCAAGCGUUAAUCGGAAUUACUGGGCGUAAAGCGUGCGCAGGCGGUUUUGUAAGUCAGAUGUGAAAUCCCCGGAACUUAACCUGGGAACUGCGUUUGAAACUC
rnacentral:rRNA from 1 species